UACGGGGGGGGGAAGCGUUGUUCGGAAUUACUGGGCGUAAAGGGCUCGUAGGCGGCCAACUAAGUCAGACGUGAAAUCCCUCAGCUUAACUGGGGAACUGCGUCUGAUACUGGAUGGCUUGGAUUCGGGAGAGGAAUGCGGAAUUCCAGGUGUAGCGGUGAAAUGCGUAGAUAUCGGGAGGAACAUCUGUGGCGAAGGCGGCCAUCUGGACCAGCACUGACACUGAGGCACGAAAGCGUGGGGAGCAAACAGG
rnacentral:rRNA from 1 species